UGAUUAUGGCUGGAAUUGAACGCUGGCGGGAUGCUUCACACAUGCAAGUCGAACGGCAGCAGCCACGGACUUCGGUCUGGUGGCGAGUGGCGAACAGGUGAGUAAUGUAUCGGAACGGUGCCUAGUAGCGGGGGAUAACUACGCGAAAGCGUAGCUAAUACCGCAUACGCCCUUCGAGGAAAGCAGGGGACCGGGCCUCGCGCUAUCAAACGGCCGAUAUCGGAUUAGCUAGUUGGUGGGGUAACGGCUCACCAAGGCGACGAUCCGUAGCUACUUUAAAGGACGACCAGCCACUGGGACUGAGACACGGCCCAGACUCCUACGGGAGGCAGCAGUGGGAAUUUUGGACAAUGGAAACCCUGAUCCAGCCAUCCCGCGUGUGCGAUGAAGGCCUUCCGGGUUGUAAAGCACUUUUGGCGGAAAGAAACGGCACGGGAUAAUACCCCGUGCAACUGACGGAAAUGCCAGAAUAUAAGCACCGGCUAACUACGUACCCAGCAGCCGCAAUACGUAGGGUGCAAGCGUUAAUCGGAAUUACUGGGCGUAAAGCGUGCGCAGGCGGUUCGGAAAGAAAGGGUAACGAAAUCCCAGAGCUUAACUUUGGAACUGCAUUUUUAACUACAGGCUAGAGUGUGUCAGAGGAGGUGGAAUUCGCGUGUAGCAGUGAAAUGCGUAGAUAUGCGGAGGAACACCGAUGAAGGCAGCCUCCUGGGAUAACACUGACGCUCAUGCACGAAAAAGCAGGGAGCAAACCCGGGAUUAAAUACCUGGUAGUCCGCCCUAAACGAUCUCAACUAGCUGUUGACUCUUCGGGCCUUGGUAGCGCAAGCUAACGCGUGAAGUUGACCGCCUGGGAGCGAUACGGUCGCAAGAUUUAAAACUCAAAGGAAUUAUUGACGGGGACCCGGCGGUGGAUGAUGUCAGUUAAUUCGAUGCAACGCAUAGCAAAAACCUUACCUACCCUUGACAUGUCUGGAAUCGAAGAGAUUUUGGGAGUCUUACUCAUAGAAAGAACCGGAACACAGGUGCUGCAUGGCUGUCGUCAGCUCGUAUCGUGAGAUGUUGGUUAAGUCUAACCGACGCAACCCUUGUCAUUAGUUGCUACGAAAGGGCACUCUAAUGAGACUGCCGGUGACAAACCGGAGGAAGGUGGGGAUGACGUCAGGUCCUCUGGCCCUUAUGGUAGGGCUUCACGUCGCCAAUGAAUGGACAGAGGGUCGCCAACACGGGGGAGCCAAUCCCAGAAACCCGAUCGUAGUCCGGAUCGCAGUCUGCAACUCGGCUGCGUGAAGUCGGAAUCGCUAGUAAUCGCGGAUCAGCAUGUCGCGGUGAAUACGUUCCCGGGUCUUACGCUUUUUACACCGCCCGUCACAUAGAAUUGGGUUUUACCAAGAAGUAGUUAGCCUAACCGUAAGGAGGGCGAUUACCACGGUAGGAUUCAUGACUGGGGUGAAGUCGUAACAAGGUAGCU
rnacentral:rRNA from 1 species